rnacentral:pre_miRNA from 1 species
AGUGGAAUAGCUAGGUCAAAUGGUAGUUUCAUUUCAAAUUUUCUAAGGAAUCUCCAUACUGCUUUCCAGAAUUGUUGCACCAAUUUGCAGUCCCACUAGUAAU